ACAUGCUCCUACUGUACCGAUGCAAAGGGGUUAUUUGUUGCCUUCUAUCAGUCUUCUGGAUUUCACUGGAGACCAAGAGCACACCAUGCCAGCACACAGAGCUUACUCAGCUGCCUUCCUUAGAGCUUUGUCACUAAAGCAUAACAUUUAACAGCAGGAGCUGUGAAAGUCAUGCGUGCAAAACUUUUUAUGGAACUGUAAUUAAAACACUAUGCUGCAAAAUCUAUUUAACAAGAGAAUAUUAUCCUGCUUUGAAGAUGUAGAGAGAGCACGUUUACUUCCCAGUAGUGGUUGUGGAGUGCACUGUGUCACUCAACAGCAUCCCUUUGGCUGGGGAAGGAACAGUGGUGACAAGCUCCAAAUAAAGGAAAACAAAGACAUGAGGAAAGGAAAUCUAAUGCUUGACCACAUGUCUGGCCCUAAAUUGGAUGAUCAGCAAUGUGAAGACCUCUCUACUCCAAUCUCUUCCCUGGUGACUGCCAACAAAUCCAGCAGUGGGGAUGACUCUGCCUCAGCAGCCCUGGAGAAUUCAAGGGCACAACUGCAAGAACAAUGGCAUUCCCUGAGGGAAGUACUCUGAAACCUGGACCAAAAACAUAAUGAAAAAUUCAGCAGUUGGCAUACCGCUUUAAAAUAAAGAAGAAUAUUUCCUUCAUCUCUUCCGAAAUCAGUUUCCUGGGCACAUGGCAUGGUGUUGUUACACUAUGUAUGCUAAUUCUAGUUAAGAAGGGGAUGAAGACAGAAAUAACUUUUGGGGAGGGAAGCCUCCCCUGUACAGCUGUCGAUGAGUCUGGUAACAGUCUGACUAGAGGCGGCCCCAGUGGAUCUUUUCCUCUCCGCUUGCUUUGAAGGUGAUGUUCGGACUGCAAGGUUGCGGCAAGGUCCCACGCUUGUUUGGAAAGGAAGACUUGCUACUGGUAUUUUACACUGCCGUGUCUUAUGGUUUGGGUUUUAUUGUUGUUGUUAUGGGGCUUGCGGGAUUUUCUUCACGUUGCACGUUUACCUUGUCUUUAUGCAUCUCUUCCUCCUAUACAAUAUCCCACUUGUUUUGAUGGGAAAGAAUGUGGUAGAAGUACCUGCAGGCAUUGUAGAAUAGUGUCUGAACAGCUAAAUCCAAGAGUUACACCAGUUCCUCUUUAUUUUAGUCUGCUGUAAGCCUGAGCACUGUCAAUAGCUGCAAAGUAUCAGCUAUUGCCCUAGUCAAAGAUGUACCUUCUCUCGCAUCAAAAUCACCGGAUGAUUUUCGGUCUAUAAGAUGUUACUGUAUCAGCACUGUUAUCCAACAAAGUUACAGAUACAAAAAAAGUGUGCUUACUGUUUAAAACACUACCGAUGUUAGUGUGGGCAGACUACCUCUACAGGUGAAUGCUUUCCAGCCAUUUUGAUCCCAGCGCAGUGAAGCAGGAAAAAUAAACUAGAUAGACUUCAUAAACUGUGAUUAAGCACGGUGCAAAAGCCUUGGGGGAAUAAGUCUCUACACCACAGUUAUACAAACAAAUUUGGCUCAUGCUAGUAGGAAAAAAGAAAGACUGGACUAAUGGAAAAAUACAUGAUGUUUUUUCUUAAAAUUAAUUUACAUGAGUGGCUUUGUUGACGGAGCACAUGUUCAUGUGGAUGUAGGGCGUAUUAUUCCAACUCUUUCUGUAGCAUAACCACAGUGACCGCAGCACACGGUGCUAGUGCAAACAAAGUCUCGUUAACAGCCCAUGAACAAAAGCAUUUUCCUAGAAUACGCUUUCUCAUUGGUACUGUUGACCGGUUCCUGGCCUACCAAGGGAUAAGGCUAGGUAGGUACGGACAGCUUUGUAAGUAUAGAGUGAGAGUAGUAAUCAAAGUGUACUAGAAAUGUAUCAUAUAAUUAAAAAGAGUGCGUGGGACAGAGUUAAUUUUGUGACCCUUUUUUCUUGAUUACUGAUGAACUGGAAGGCAGUGUCUUAUAUAGUAGAUUACAGCUUGUUAAAUACCACCCAUUGUACUUCUAUCUAUGUUCUCCAUCCUUUUUGUUCUCUUAAAGCCAGCACUCUGAGAGGCUGUCACACUGAGCUGGCUUCCUCCACUAAGCAAGACUUGCUGCAUUUUUCCUUAACCUCCAUUAGCAUCCUAUUUUUGUCAGAUCCAACAUAAACACUGCUCUCUUGAUGGACUCAGCUGAAUUUAUCUUUCUGAUCUUAUAGACAUUUAUCUUCUUAGCUAUUAAGCUACUCAACCUUCAUUUUCUUUCUGUCCCAUUGUCUCAUGUUAUCAAUUCAUCUACUGGGAGCUUUCUCCUAGAACAAAAAGCACUUUUCUUAAUACUACUGUAAAACUUUUUAUUUUCCUCUUGACAUUCUCCGGGAAGGGUUUUUGGAUCUACAUGAGCAAAAAAUUCAUACAAAUUCCAUAUACACUUCUACGAAAUGCUGAGACUACACUUCACUGGAAUUUGAAGAACAUCUUGAUCUUUUGGCAAAAAGAAAAUUACUGUAAAGACUUGACAGUCACAUGGAUGGAUGUGAACAAAGUUCACUGCGGGUAACUCUGGCCCUGUUUCUGCACCUUCCCCGCACGGGAGCGGGGGAAGGCGGGAAGCAGCGCAUCGCCUGGGAUGGGGGCGACUGCGAGCCUUGGCUCAGGUACCCGCUCCCCUUCGUACCGAGUCGGUAUCCUCCUGACGUCGACUUCAAACUCAAGGGCUUAUCUUGGCCCCUUCGCGGGUCAGGCCGCCCGGGAGCUGCCGUUCUCCCUUUCCGCCCCCUGCCAAGC
ensembl:lncRNA